CCUUUGGGGGGUGCUUUGUCCCUCUCCACUUUCUCACUCUGGCAAGAGCACACACUCUCUAGCAAAAAAAAAAAAAAAAAAAAACUCAGAGCUGCAAUCUUACAGUAAAGGUUGAGUCAUAGUACAUUUCUCUUACAUUA
rnacentral:snoRNA from 1 species